UUUAUUGAGAGUUUGAUCCUGGCUCAGGAUGAACGCUGGCGGUGUGCCUUAGGCAUGCAAGUCGAACGGUAAUCUCGCCUUCGGGCGAGAACGAGUGGCGAACGGGUGAGUAACACGUAGGAAUCUACCCAGUAGUGGGGAAUAGCUCGCCGAAAGGCGGGAUAAUACCGCAUACGUCCCGCAGCAAUGCGGGAGAAAGCAUUUAUGCGCUAUUGGAAGAGCCUGCGCGCUAUCAGCUAGUUGGUGAGGUAAAGGCUCACCAAGGCUACGACGGCUAGCCGAUGUGAGAGCAUGAUCGGCCACAAGGCUACUGAGACACGGAGCCUACACCUACGGGUGGCAGCAACCGGGAAUUUUGCGCAAUGGACGAAAGUCUGACGCAGCGACACCGCGUGUGGGAUGACACUUUUCGGAGCGUAAACCACUGUGGCGAGGGAGGAAUUUUGACAGUACCUCGCUAGAAAGCACCAGCUAACCACGUGCCAGAAGCUUCGGUAAUACGUGGGGUGCAAGCGUUAUCCGGAUUUA
rnacentral:rRNA from 1 species